GCGGGCAUGGCGGAAUUGGCAGACGCGCCAGAUUUAGGUUCUGGUGUCCAAGACGUGCAGGUUCAAGUCCUGUUGCCCGCA
rnacentral:tRNA from 1 species